GGCAGGAGAAGUUUGGGCUUGGACAUGUCCACGGGGGAAAUAGCCACCAGCUCUCUGGGAAGCCUGAGCUCAGUGGAUAUGAACACACCUGCUGAGCUCCGUGACUACUUGGAUGUUGGGACCCCGGUCAAGUUGCGUGACAGCCCACCCAGGCCUGCUCCCCCUCCUACCAAGCCCAGGAGCAAACUGCCUCGGCCUAUAAGGUUCCUCAGCCUGCCAAAGGCUGCCACCGGCUCAGGGAGAAGAAGAUCGAGGGCUUGACCUCUCUCCGUGUGAUGGCUCAGAACCACAUGGACAUACUGAUGCCUAAACUCCAUGAUAUCUGCCUUGCCAUUAUAAAUGAGGUGAAGAACCUGCGCUCUGCAGUGUCCUGUGCUGCCAUGGCCACACUGGGUGACAUGUACGUUCACCUCCAGAGGGCCAUGGACAGUGAGGUGGAG